CAGAACGUUAGGAUAAACAAGGAAGGGGGAAGAAGCUUCUGAUACUACCAGACCUUGUUUCAUCACUCCAGCCCCAACGUAGGGCUGAGACAGGAGAAAGAGCAGAAGCCAAGAAGAAUUACUCUGACACGUUAAUAACUUUGCCCAUUGGACUUGGUGUUUUAGGAAUGUUACCUGACAGAUGUCUAAGGAUAGAUCACCUAUAUCUAAAAAUUUCAAAAAACAUUUCAUUGAUUACUUCCUAAUUUGUAGUUAAUCCAAAAAACAUUCAGCUUCAUUUUCCAAAUAUACCAUAAAAGGAACUGGUAGGUAAUGUCAGCAUAAUACGUUUUAUCCUAACUUUAAGUUAUUUUCUGUUGAAAAUCACUAAAUCUGUGGGUCCAUUUAGAUAUAAUUAUCACCAAAAACUACAUAGAAAAAAUGAUUUUUAUUUGAAAGCAUGAAAUAAUCUAGAAGUAUCAAGAAAUUUUCUUAACAUUUAACAUAUAUUAAAAACCAAAAAUCACGCCUUUAGAUUAUUAGGUCUUCUAUCCUCAAAUUACAGUGAAGAUGCCUUCUGCUUGAA
rnacentral:lncRNA from 1 species